rnacentral:rRNA from 1 species
AACCAGCACCUCAAGUGGUCAGGAUGAUUAUUGGGCCUAAAGCAUCCGUAGCCGGCCUUGUAAGUUUUCGGUUAAAUCCAUUCGCUUAACGAAUGGGCUGCCGGGAAUACUGCAAGGCUAGGGAGUGGGAGAGGUAGACGGUACUCAGUAGGAAGGGGUAAAAUCCUUUGAUCUAUUGAUGACCACCUGUGGCGAAGGCGGUCUACCAGAACAUGUCCGACGGUGAGGGAUGAAAGCUGGGGGAGCAAACCGGAUUAGAUACCCGGGUAGUCCCAGCUGUAAACUAUGCAAACUCAGUGAUGCAUUGGCUUGAUGCCAAUGCAGUGCUGCAGGGAAGCCGUUAAGUUUGCCGCCUGGGAAGUACGUACGCAAGUAUGAAACUUAAAGGAAUUGGCGGGGGAGCACCACAAGGGGUGAAGCCUGCGGUUCAAUUGGAGUCAACGCCAGAAAUCUUACCCGGAGAGACAGCAGAAUGAAGGUCAAGCUGAAGACUUUACCAGACAAGCUGAGAGGUGGUGCAUGGCCGUCGCCAGCUCGUGCCGUGAGAUGUCCUGUUAAGUCAGGUAACGAGCGAGAUCCCUGCCUCUAGUUGCCACCACUGCUCUCAGGAGUAGUGGGGAGAAUUAGCGGGACCGCCGUAGUUAAUACGGAGGAAGGAAGGGGCCACGGCAGGUCAGUAUGCCCCGAAACUCUGGGGCCACACGCGGGCUGCAAUGGUAAUGACAAUGUGUUCCAAAUCCGAAAGGAGGAGGUAAUCCUCAAACGUUACCACAGUUAUGACUGAGGGCUGCAACUCGCCCUCACGAAUAUGGAAUCCCUAGUAACUGCGUGUCACUAUCGCGCGGUGAAUACGUCCCUGCUCCC